ACUGUACCAGGGUGUUGGGUGGACUUUGCUCGAUGGCAGCAUUCAGGAAGCUUCCUGCAAAUUCUGUCUCUGUUUAAGUGACUAAGUUACAAGUCUAAGAUGCCUCUGUUUAACAUAAACAGAGCUGGGAAAUCAAGCACAGGACUAUGAAAACAACCAAGGGAAACAUCUUUGGCAAAUUGGGCCUGAGGAUCUUUGUUGCCUCUGGAUGGAUUUGUGCAGGACUCCAGGAAAGAGGUGGAGCACCCUGAAAAAAUGCAGAGCUCUCCCUACAUGCAAAUAGCUUAAAAUCUGAACAUAUUGCCAAGGAGUUUUCUGUGUAAAGGAAGGACAGGAGGCAAUAAAAAGGGAAAGCAGUUCGUGUUGAUGGACAGAGAGGUUUAUAAAAUGUGGUUUACCUUGAUUCCUUUCUAUCAUGUCGAAUCCACAUAAAUUCUGUUUCUUUGCUCCUCUUCUUCCAUUUGAAAUUACGUGCCUAAACUGAGCAAAGGAUUUAAAGACUGUCACAUAGCUUUUCAGGUGCUUAUAUAAAUGAGAACCUCACAAAACCAGCUAAGAUCCCAAUUUUGCAAAUAGCUUGACCACAUGGGGUUCUCAGCCUCAUGCACAAUCCCUUAGUUUGGAGCACAGCUCUGGGCAAGAAAAGUGGUCCAGCUGCAUAAGUCAUGUUUUCAAUAGAUGCCCUUAUACAUCGAGGCGAGAGCUGGGUGGGUAGGGCAUUUUCCA